UCUCGAUUGGUCUAGUGGUCAGGAUACCUGCUUGUCAUUAGUUGCCUAGUGUUCACCCUUGUGGAACACAGGAGUCCUAACAACAAACCGCAGGUGGCCGGGGUUCGAUUCCCCGAUCGAGAG